rfam:Ixodes scapularis strain Wikel colony gcontig_1107728859002, whole genome shotgun sequence.
UCCUGGUUAGCUCAUUUGGUAGGGCGCUCCACUGGAAAUGUAGCGGUCCCUCGUUCGAUACGAGGGCCAGGGG